GUCAAGAGCGACAGCCAUCCUAAAAAAAUAAAGAGCGACAGCCUCGAAACGACUGCAGAUCCAGACUCUUCUUCCCCAACGCGGCAUUCAUUUUAGGUGACGAGGUAGAGAGGGAGGAAGUGGGAGAACGGGCGACCGACGCUUAAUGGAGUUUCUCAUGCAUCCAAUCCGUAGAUCCACGCUGAGUGAGGAGGUAGGAGAGAGUCUGCUGCCGGAAGGUUUGCCGGCGGACGGUAACAGGCGAACGGUGGUGGUGCCGUUGCUGGAGGGUGUGAGCGGCGAUGUGCGGAUCUGCGUGGCGUCUGCACCGGCGGCGACGAGCGGAGAUGGGCGAAUCUGCAACGUGGCUCAAGCGGCAACAGUGAGAAGGACAACUCGCCUCCGACUUCUGAGCUCUCCAUAGGAAAGAUAAAUCCCCAGGCUCCUGGUUGGAAUAAAAAGGGGGCGAGCAGUACAAACACCAGCCUCUAGCACUGACAGUGUGGUCAAGGAAGAUGCGGACGUGAACAAGGUUGUACCACUUGUGCAAGACGAAGAUAACAAUUGCCCAGGUAAGAUAGUAGGUCCAUCUUCAGAAGAAUGGUUUGCAAUUAGACUAUUUUGUUUUUGCAAAAUGUGAAUGGAUGAUCAUAUAUGGUAACACAUCUUGGGGCUUGUUUCUGGUAGCUGAUGCUGGUUUAAUGGAUGUUGUUCUGGAGGAGAUCAAUGCGAUGCAUGUACAUGCCUCUCAGGCGGCAUCAUACGAUGUUAGGGCACGCACAAGCAUCCCAUUGGUAAAACAAGAAGGUGUUGGAGAUGGUGAUGUGCAGGGGCCUGGUGAUGUGGUUGUGUGCAGGGUGGAGCGGAUAGAUGACGUGCAUCUAGAUGAUCAACUUGCUCGGCAACUUGAAGCAGAGCUGGAUGCGGAAUAUGAGAUGGAGAUAGCAUCCCGUGCACCGGCUGCGAGUGCGACGACGGGUUUGGUUCACGGGGUUAUUGACAUCUCUGACAAUGAAAGCAAUGAUGAAGUUGAUAUGAAAGAAUGGUCUGAUGAUCCUGAGCACGCUAAGUUGUAUGAGACAGACAGAAAGUUGAGGGAGCAAGAGCUGCAAGAUCCAGAUGUCAUGAAAAUGUAUCAAGAAAUGUAUGAUAAAAAUGAUGGUCCGCGGGAAGAAAACUGAGAUCGCCAAUGCGACAGCAAACCAAAACCUUGCUCAGGAGGUCGAACCGGCAGGUCGAGAAACAAGCCCCGUGGAGGGUGGCCAUAGAGAUGUUCAGGUUGAUAAAAGUGCGAAUGAGAAUUGCUGUCGCUGGCAGGCAAACAUCGAAGGACGGGCAUACAUUGGUGGUUCUCAGCCAUGAUGGUGGUUGUUGAUUUGAUUCUCCUUAUAGCCUUGAAGUAAUGCUUGGUUUGAUUCUCUGCAUUGCAAUGCUUGGUUUACUACAGAUAGCAUAUACAUUUAAGUUCCCUCCUGAGAAUUGUAUUAGAACUACUACCCUGAUUACAUAUGCAAUUUGAAUGGAUGCCCC